CCUACGGGAGGUAGCAGUGAGGAAUAUUGGUCAAUGGGCGGAAGCCUGAACCAGCCAAGUAGCGUGCAGGAUGACGGCCCUACGGGUUGUAAACUGCUGUUAUACGGGAAUAACGCGCCUUACGUGGAGGGCUUUGCAUGUACCGUAUGAAUAAGGACCGGCUAAUUCCGUGCCAGCAGCCGCGGUAAUACGGAAGGGCCGGGCGUUAGCCGGAUUUAUUGGUUUUAAAGGGAGCGUAGGCCGCAUGUCAAGCGUGCGGUGACAUGUCCGGGCGCAACCCGGGCCUUGCAGCGCGAACUGGCGUGCUUGCGUCCGCGGCUAGCAGGCGGCAUUCGUCGUGUAGCGGU
rnacentral:rRNA from 1 species